rnacentral:rRNA from 1 species
UGGGGGAGCAAACAGGAUUAGAUACCCUGGUAGUCGCUGUAAACGAUGUCGAUUUGGAGUUUGUUGCCUAGAGUGAUGGGCUCCGAAGCUAACGCGAUAAAUCGACCGCUGGGGAGUACGGCCGCAAGGUUAAAACUCAAAUGAAUUGACGGGGGCCCGCACAAGCGGUGGAGCAUGUGGUUUAAUUCGAUGCAACGCGAAGAACCUUACCUGGUCUUGACAUCCAUAGAAUUCUGCAGAGAUGUGGGAGUGCCUUCGGGAACUAUGAGACAGGUGCUGCAUGGCUGUCGUCAGCUCGUGUUGUGAAAUGUUGGGUUAAGUCCCGCAACGAGCGCAACCCUUAUUCUUUGUUGCCAGCGAUUUGGUCGGGAACUCAAAGGAGACUGCCGUUGAUAAAGCGGAGGAAGGUGGGGACGACGUCAAGUCAUCAUGGCCCUUACGACCAGGGCUACACACGUGCUACAAUGGCGUAUACAAAGGGAAGCGAAGGUGCGAGCUGGAGCGGAUCUCAUAAAGUACGUCUAAGUUCGGAUUGGAGUCUGCAACUCGACUCCAUGAAGUCGGAAUCGCUAGUAAUCGUAGAUCAGAAUGCUACGGUGAAUACGUUCCCGGGCCUUGUACACACCGCCCGUCACACCAUGGGAGUGGGUUGCACCAGAAGUAGAUAGCUUAACCGCGAGGGGGGCGUUUACCACGGUGUGAUUCAUGACUGGGGUGAAGUCGUAACAAGGUAACCA